rnacentral:rRNA from 1 species
UAAUACGGAGGGUGCAAGCGUUAAUCGGAAUCACUGGGCGUAAAGCGCACGUAGGCGGCUUGGUCAGUCAGAUGUGAAAGCCCUGGGCUCAACCUGGGAACGGCAUUUGAUACUGCCAGGCUCGAGUCUAAGAGAGGGGGGUGGAAUUCCAGGUGUAGCGGUGAAAUGCGUAGAGAUCUGGAGGAACACCAGUGGCGAAGGCGGCCCCCUGGCUUAAGACUGACGCUGAGGUGCGAAAGCGUGGGGAGCAAACAGG